rnacentral:rRNA from 1 species
GACAGAGGAUGCAAGCGUUAUCCGGAAUGAUUGGGCGUAAAGCGUCUGUAGGUGGCUUUUUAAGUCCGCCGUCAAAUCCCAGGGCUCAACCCUGGACAGGCGGUGGAAACUACCAAGCUGGAGUACGGUAGGGGCAGAGGGAAUUUCCGGUGGAGCGGUGAAAUGCGUAGAGAUCGGAAGGAAUGCCAAAAGCGAAAGCAGCUUACUAUGAAUAUCUUGACAGUGAGAGACGAAAGUUUGGGUAGCAAACGGG